rnacentral:rRNA from 1 species
UCGAACGGAUUAUUCUUUAUAGCUUGCUAUGGAGGAUAAUUAGUGGCAGACGGGUGAGUAAUGCAUAGGAAUCUACCUAGUAGUAUGGGAUAGCCACUAGAAAUGGUGGGUAAUACUGUAUAAUCCCUGCGGGGGAAAGAUUUAUCGCUAUUAGAUGAGCCUAUGUUAGAUUAGCUAGUUGGUAGGGUAAAGGCCUACCAAGGCGAUGAUCUAUAGCUGGUCUGAGAGGAUGAUCAGCCACACUGGAACUGAGAUACGGUCCAGACUCCUACGGGAGGCAGCAGUGGGGAAUAUUGGACAAUGGGCGCAAGCCUGAUCCAGCUAUGCCGCGUGAGUGAGGAAGGCCUUAGGGUUGUAAAACUCUUUCAGUAGGGAAGAUAAUGACGGUACCUA